UGUCAAAAUGUCUGACGUGCCUGGA
rnacentral:piRNA from 1 species